GAUGGACGCUGGCGGCGUGCCUAAUACAUGCAAGUCGAGCGAACAGACGAGGAGCUUGCUCCUCUGACGUUAGCGGCGGACGGGUGAGUAACACGUGGAUAACCUACCUAUAAGACUGGGAUAACUUCGGGAAACCGGAGCUAAUACCGGAUAAUAUAUUGAACCGCAUGGUUCAAUAGUGAAAGACGGUUUUGCUGUCACUUAUAGAUGGAUCCGCGCCGCAUUAGCUAGUUGGUAAGGUAACGGCUUACCAAGGCAACGAUGCGUAGCCGACCUGAGAGGGUGAUCGGCCACACUGGAACUGAGACACGGUCCAGACUCCUACGGGAGGCAGCAGUAGGGAAUCGUCCGCAAUGGGCGAAAGCUUGGCGGAGCAACGCCGCGUGAGUGAUGAAGGUCUUCGGAUCGUAAAACUCUGUUAUUAGGGAAGAACAAAUGUGUAAGUAACUAUGCACGUCUUGACGGUACCUAAUCAGAAAGCCACGGCUAACUACGUG
rnacentral:rRNA from 1 species